CCCCUCUCAGGAUUGCACCUAGAGAGUUUCCAGUACUCUACCAGUCCUGGCUACGGGAGGGGGAGUCAAGCAGAAGCAUAUCCAUUUCAUUCUUAGCUUGGGCAGUGGCUAGUGAGUGGAAGGUAAUCUGCUACAAGU